rnacentral:rRNA from 1 species
GACAUGCAGGUGAUCGCCGUUGAAAGACGGUUUCCUCUUCGGAGGCACCUGCACAGGUGCUGCAUGGCUGUCGUCAGCUCGUGUCGUGAGAUGUUGGGUUAAGUCCCGCAACGAGCCGCAACCCUUAUCCCCAGUUGCCAUCAGGUAAAGCUGGGAACUCUGGGGAGACUGCCGGUGAUAAACCGGAGGAAGGCGGGGAUGACGUCAAGUCCUCAUGGCCCUUACAUCCCGGGCUACACACGUGCUACAAUGGCAGGUACAGAGGGCUGCAAAGCCGCGAGGUAGAGCGAAUCCCAGAAAACCUGUCUCAGUCCGGAUUGAAGUCUGCAACUCGACUUCAUGAAGGCGGAAUCGCUAGUAACCGCGAAUCAGCAGGUCGCGGUGAAUACGUUCCCGGGCCUU